rnacentral:rRNA from 1 species
UACAGAGGUCUCAACCGUUGUUCGGAUUCAUUGGGCGUAAAGGGUGCGUAGGCGGUCGCGUAAGUCAGGUGUGAAAUCCCGGGGCUCAACCCCGGAACUGCACUUGAUACUGCGUGGCUAGGGUACUGGAGAGGAGACUGGAAUUUACGGUGUAGCAGUGAAAUGCGUAGAUAUCGGGAGGAACACCAGUGGCGAAGGCGACUACCUGGCCUGUUUCUUGACGCUGAGGCGCGAAAGCUAGGGGAGCAAACGGG